rnacentral:rRNA from 1 species
GCCCGCUCAAGAAACUUAAAGGAAUUGACGGGGCCCGCACAAGCGGUGGAGCAUGUGGUUUAAUUCGAUGCAACGCGAAGAACCUUACCUGGUCUUGACAUCCCGGAGACCCUUAGGAAACUAGGGGGUGCUUCCAUCUGGAAGAAUCUGGAGACAGGUGCUGCAUGGCUGUCGUCAGCUCGUGUCGUGAGAUGUUGGGUUAAGUCCCGCAACGAGCGCAACCCUUGCCUUUAGUUGCCAGCAGUUCGGCUGGGCACUCUAAAGGGACUGCCGGUGUUAAACCGGAGGAAGGUGGGGAUGACGUCAAGUCCUCAUGGCCUUUAUGACCAGGGCUACACACGUACUACAAUGGCCGAUACAAAGGGCAGCGACACUGCGAGGUGAAGCCAAUCCCGUAAAAUCGGUCUCAGUCCGGAUUGGAGUCUGCAACUCGACUCCAUGAAGUUGGAAUCGCUAGUAAUCGUGGAUCAGCAUGCCACGGUGAAUACGUUCCCGGGCCUU